UAAUAAGUCGGGUGUGAAAGCCCACAGCUCAACUGUGGAACUGCAUCCGAAACUGUUAAGCUAGAGUUCGGAAGAGGCAGGUGGAAUUGGUGGUGUAGGGGUAAAAUCCGUAGAGAUCACCAGGAAUACCCAUUGCGAAGGCGACCUGCUGGGACGAUACUGACGCUGAGGCGCGAAAGCGUGGGGAGCAAACAGGAUUAGAUACCCUGGUAGUCCACGCCCUAAACGAUGGAUGCUAGUCGUUGGAGUGCUAGUCACUCCAGUGAUGCAGCUAACGCAUUAAGCAUCCCGCCUGGGGAGUACGGCCGCAAGGCUAAAACUCAAAGGAAUAGACGGGGACCCGCACAAGCGGUGGAGCAUGUGGUUUAAUUCGAAGAUACGCGAAGAACCUUACCUGGGCUUGACAUCCCAAGAACCUCCCAGAGAUGGGAGGGUGCCCCUUCGGGGGAACUUGGUGACAGGUGCUGCACGGCUGUCGUCAGCUCGUGUCGUGAGAUGUUGGGUUAAGUCCCGCAACGAGCGCAACCCUCGCCCUUAGUUGCUAACAGUUCGGCUGAGCACUCUAAGGGGACUGCCCGGGCAACCGGGAGGAAGGUGAGGAUGACGUCAAGUCAUCAUGGCCCUUAUGUCCAGGGCGACACACGUGCUACAAUGGCGCGUACAAAGAGAAGCAAUACCGCGAGGUG
rnacentral:rRNA from 1 species